UACAGAGGGUGCAAGCGUUGUUCGGAAUUACUGGGCGUAAAGAGUUCGUAGGCGGUAUCGAGAGUCAUAGGUGAAAUCCCCAAGCUUAACUUGGGAGCUGCCUGUGAGACCUCGGUACUAGAGUACAGAAGGGGCUAGUGGAAUUUCUAGUGUAGCGGUGAAAUGCGUAGAUAUUAGAAGGAACACCGGUGGCGAAGGCGACUGGCUGGUCUGUAACUGACGCUGAGGAACGAAAGCAUGGGGAGCAAACAGG
rnacentral:misc_RNA from 1 species